GGUCACAAAUGGAGUAACUUUACCCAUAGUUAUUAAAGGCGUGCUUGAGGCUCCAAGCUCACCAGGCUUCAGUCCUAGCGCCUCUACAGAAGAAAGGCGGGCAACAUUCAACAGACCCUCACCUUAUGUGCCUAGGCGUGCGCUUUGUUCUAAGCGCAAGGCUAGAAAAGCGCGCCUUAAUUAUUUCCACAUUCAGCGCGUACUUCUAUUGACAAAAAGCAAUACCACUCAACUAAAAAUUUGUUGACCUAGAAGUUUUCGAAAUUAGUAUC
rnacentral:misc_RNA from 1 species